GACGAACCGUACGAACGUUAUUCGGAAUCACUGGGCUUAAAGGGUGCGUAGGCGGCGCAGUAAGUUGGGUGUGAAAUCCCUCGCUUAACCGAGGAAUUGCGCCCAAAACUACUGUGCUCGAGGGAGGUAGAGGUGAGCGGAGCUUAGGGUGGAGCGGUGAAAUGCGUUGAUAUCCUAAGGAACACCGGUGGCGAAAGCGGCUCACUGGACCUCUUCUGACGCUGAGGCACGAAAGCUAGGGUAGCAAACGGG
rnacentral:rRNA from 1 species